GCAGUGGUGGUUCAGUGGUAGAACUCCUGCCUUUCGUGAAGGAGAUCCAGGUUCAAUUCCUGGCCAAAGCA